UACGUAGGGGGCAAGCGUUAUCCGGAAUUACUGGGUGUAAAGGGUGAGUAGGUUGGCUUGUAAGUCAUAUGUGAAAUACCGAUGCUUAACAUCGGGGCUGCAUAAGAAACUACAAGCCUAGAGUACAGGAGAGGUAAGCGGAAUUCCUAGUGUAGCGGUGAAAUGCGUAGAUAUUAGGAAGAACACCAGUGGCGAAGGCGGCUUACUGGACUGAAACUGACACUGAGUCACGAAAGCGUGGGGAGCAAACAGG
rnacentral:rRNA from 1 species